UACGAAGGGGGCUAGCGUUGUUCGGAAUUACUGGGCGUAAAGCGCACGUAGGCGGACAUUUAAGUCAGGGGUGAAAUCCCAGAGCUCAACUCUGGAACUGCCUUUGAUACUGGGUGUCUUGAGUAUGGAAGAGGUGAGUGGAAUUCCGAGUGUAGAGGUGAAAUUCGUAGAUAUUCGGAGGAACACCAGUGGCGAAAAGCGGCUUCCUGGUCCAGCACCGACGUUCAGGCACGAAAGCGUGGGGGAG
rnacentral:rRNA from 1 species